rnacentral:tRNA from 1 species
UGGUGGAUAUGCAAGAGGUUAAAGCAGGCAGACUGUAAAUCUGUUCCCGAAAGGGUUCGUGAGUUCAAAUCUCACUCCACCAA